AACGUAGGAGCCAAGCGUUAUCCGAAUUCACUGGGCGUAAAGCGCGCGCAGGCGGCUGGGCAAGUCGGAUGUGAAAUCUCCUGGCUCAACUGGGAGAGGCCGUUCAAUACUACCUGGCUUGAGGGCGACAGAGGGAGGUGGAAUUCCGGGUGUAGUGGUGAAAUGCGUAGAUAUCGAGAGGAACACCAGUGGCGAAGGCGAGUCUCUAGACAACUCCUGACACUGAGGCACGAAAGCUAGGGGAGCAAACAGG
rnacentral:rRNA from 1 species